CAAAUACGAACCCAAAAGCGGCUUAGUACUGCGCUGCUGAGGCCGAACGCGAAAUUUUGUCGCGUAAUUAUGAAACG
rnacentral:lncRNA from 1 species